CGAGCACGCGCGUGUGGCAUAUCAAUAAGCGGAGGAAAAGAAACUAACAAGGAUUCCCUUAGUAACGGCGAGUGAAGCGGGAAGAGCUCAAAUUUGAAAUCUUCAAGGUUCUACCUUGACGAAUUGUAGUUUAUAGAAGUGUUUUCUGUUAGUGGAGUGGCAAAAGUUCUUUGGAAUAGGACAUCAUAGAGGGUGAGAAUCCCGUAUUUGGUCAUUCCUUCCUAGCGUUGUGAUACACUUUCAACGAGUCGGAUUGUUUGGGAAUGCAGUCCAAAAUGGGUGGUAAAUUUCAUCUAAAGCUAAAUAUUGGCGAGAGACCGAUAGCGAACAAGUACCGUGAGGGAAAGAUGAAAAGAACUUUGAAAAGAGAGUUAAACAGUACGUGAAAUUGUCAAAAGGGAAGCGUUUGACACCAGUGUUGUUUUUCCGAAAAUCAAUUACGAAUGUUUUGUUUUUAAGGAGUUAUGACUUCAUCGGCUUGCUUCUUUCUUUAUGAAACUUUCUUAAUGCACUUUUCGGUUAACAAGUCAACAUCAAUUUCUUUUGUUGUAAAAGGGUAUGAGGAAGGUGGCUUUCUUUUCGGAGAGAAGUGUUUAUAGCCUUGUGCCUCUGCAAUCGGAGAGAUUGAGGUCUGCAGCGUAGAUCCUUCGGGGUUAGAUACAGUUUGUGCUAAGUUAUAGCUUUUCAUAGACAACAUGUUGACUAUGUUAGUCAUGUAGCUUACUCGCUGAAGUGCUAUUUUACCUACGCUUAGGAUGUUGAACUCUAUCACACACAG
rnacentral:rRNA from 1 species